GAUGAACGCUGGCGGCGUGCCUAAUACAUGCAAGUCGAGCGAACGGACGAGAAGCUUGCUUCUCUGAUGUUAGCGGCGGACGGGUGAGUAACACGUGGAUAACCUACCUAUAAGACUGGGAUAACUUCGGGAAACCGGAGCUAAUACCGGAUAAUAUUUUGAACCGCAUGGUUCAAAAGUGAAAGACGGUCUUGCUGUCACUUAUAGAUGGAUCCGCGCUGCAUUAGCUAGUUGGUAAGGUAACGGCUUACCAAGGCAACGAUGCAUAGCCGACCUGAGAGGGUGAUCGGCCACACUGGAACUGAGACACGGUCCAGACUCCUACGGGAGGCAGCAGUAGGGAAUCUUCCGCAAUGGGCGAAAGCCUGACGGAGCAACGCCGCGUGAGUGAUGAAGGUCUUCGGAUCGUAAAACUCUGCUAUUAGGGAAGAACAUAUGUGUAAGUUACUAUGCACAUCUUGACGGUACCUAAUCAGAAAGCCACGGCUAACUACGUG
rnacentral:rRNA from 1 species